AGAUCGGUUUGCCAAGGCUCUUUGAAACAGUUACUCUUGUCCUCAUUGUAGAGAUGGUGAUACUAAGGCAGAAAAUGGCUAGCCUGGACCUCUUUUUGUGGAGACUGGAUUCCAAGAUUGAAAGUAGAAGCUACAUGUUUUCUCCAAGCAGGACUUUAAGACUUCAUUUCUGCAACAUUUUAUUGAUGAAAGCAAGUCACAAGACCAGACUGAUUCAAGGGGUGGAGAAAUAGACCCUACUUCUUGAUGGAGGGAGCAGUAGAGUUACAUUGCAAAGGGAUCUGGAAAAAAAAAAGGAGUGAUUUAUUAGGAACCAUGUUUAACAAUUUACCACAAUCCCCAGUGCAACUCCCUGUUAGCUGGAGACAUUACAGAAAUGUCUACAACUACUGCAAUGCCACUUGACCUUAGGGGUGAUGUGACCCAGGGUAAAGAGAUGGUGGUCUUAACCAAUCACAGUUAAGACAGUUUAGUUUUGGAAGGUAUAAAAAAUAUGUAACAACAUGAAUGCACUUUUAGGGUCAGACAAGAGACUUGGAAAGAGCCUGUAAAAGGGAGGAGCCCUGAGGCCUAAGCCUCAUGAGUGUCAAUGCUUACCUGUAUCUAGGCACUGGCAUCCCCCUUUUGAUAAGGCCAAGAUUGAUUGUUUUCCUUUCCUACCUACCCCAUAUCUAAUCGAUGUGCAAACACUGUUGACACACAAAAGAACCCUAAAUUCAACAAUUUGUGAAGAAUUUUUACACUAACAUGUGAGUUCAAAAACUCAACAUUGCUUGCUAAGACUGUUGCAAUAAACUCCUCUAUGAUCCCCUAA